UAAACUUAACUCGUAAGUAAAUUCUAGAAUCGCCCGCAGUUUCAAACUGAAUCUUCGAACCUGUGUCACUGAAAGGUGACAGUUGCAAAAAUAACUAAAC